rnacentral:rRNA from 1 species
GACGAACGCUGGCGGCGUGCUUAACACAUGCAAGUCGAACGGAAAGGCCCUGCUUUUGUGGGGUGCUCGAGUGGCGAACGGGUGAGUAACACGUGAGUAACCUGCCCUUGACUUUGGGAUAACUUCAGGAAACUGGGGCUAAUACCGGAUAGGAGCUCCUGCUGCAUGGUGGGGGUUGGAAAGUUUCGGCGGUUGGGGAUGGACUCGCGGCUUAUCAGCUUGUUGGUGGGGUAGUGGCUUACCAAGGCUUUGACGGGUGGCCGGCCUGAGAGGGUGACCGGCCACAUUGGGACUGAGAUACGGCCCCGACUCCUACGGGAGGCAGCAGUGGGGAAUAUUGCACAAUGGGCGGAAGCCUGAUGCAGCAACGCCGCGUGCGGGAUGACGGCCUUCGGGUUGUAAACCGCUUUCGCCUGUGACGAAGCGUGAGUGACGGUAAUGGGUAAAGAAGCACCGGCUAACUACGUG